rnacentral:tRNA from 1 species
GCCCCUUUAACUCAGUGGUAAGAGCUGGCGGCUCAUAACCAUUUUGUCGCUGGUUCAGGUCCGGCAGGGGCGCCA